GGACUUCUAUCAUAAUCCUAUAUAUAUAUACAUAUAUAUAUAUAUAUAAAAGGUCCUGAAUUUUUUUAAAUAAUAUUUUGCAAUCUCUACAACAGGGACUUCUAUCAUAAUCCUAUAUAAAUAUGUAAUUUUAGCCCAGGUUUGUGUGUGUGAGGUGAUAUAUUUAUUCCUCCUGCACGUUCCAUAUAGGAGAACUUAAAAUAUUGUUUUCAUCUUAUUGAUAAGGAAAUGAUUAUGUUUAAGCCUUAAUGUAUUAUUAUUACAAGUUGCUCAGUUUGUUUAGACAGAAACACACCAUUUGGGACUCAGAAAUGUUAGUAGUAAGCAGUAUGCAUCUAAAACCCAUUCGGAGACCGCGUCCCGAGGCUGUACCAGAUUGUCAGAGGGAUUCGCUGUCACAAAGAGGGUUAGAAAUGCGUGGAGGAGAUGAGCUUGACGGUCUUUUUCGGCUCCAGAGCGUAGCUUCAGUUGCAGCGCGCACACACCGCACUACACACUGUCACACAAGCGCGGAGCACGUUGAGGCAAAGACAUCAGAGACCUAGGGGCUGGGCGAGGCUCUGUGAGGGGGAAGGCAUCCUCCAGGUAGGAAGAAAGUCCCGCCGCUGUGCUUAUAAUAUUCCGGUUCAGUAGCCCGCACGCGCCUGGAUGGACUUCGGUGCUUUUUCACGCAUGCUUUCCGCCCCAGGAGCAGAACCCAGGUUGCGAGCUUGCCGGGGCCGGGCGUUGCUUCCCCGGGGAGGGAGCGCGCCUCCGCCCCGCCCAGCAGCGAGGGGCUAGCCCCUGUUCCGCCGCCCAGAGCAGGGCAGGUGGAAAGGCCCAGGUGCGGCCGUUUACUCCGGGGGCGGGGCUGAGCCGCCGCCCUAAGGAGCCUCAGCACUCUCCCCUAGGACAGCGCGUGAUCUGUGCCCCUGCAGCUCCCAUAGGAGACUCCUCCGACGCUGGAGGAGGUGUUGGAUUCAAGGCGGUUUCCUCCGCCACCCCCGAAGCCUACCUCCAGACACUGAGCAUGCCCAGUUGGAGUUGCCCGGCUACCCAGCUCCUGCUAAACUUUCCCCAUGUUUUCCCAGGAGCCCGGAGAAGCUCUUCGUGGGCUUUCUAUCAAAGCUGGGAUUGCGGGAGAAUUUGGGGAAAGUGCGGAGAAGUGGCCGCGGGUCUGCGCACUCUGG
rnacentral:lncRNA from 1 species